rnacentral:tRNA from 1 species
GCGGGGCUCGCUCUCUGGGAGAGUGCCGGUUCGACAGGCCGGUCGAGGUGGGUUCGAUUCCCACGCCCCGUA